AUUGAACGCUGGCGGCAUGCCUUACACAUGCAAGUCGAACGGCAGCGGGGGAGAAGCUUGCUUUUCCUGCCGGCGAGUGGCGAACGGGUGAGUAAUACAUCGGAACGUGCCCUGUAGUGGGGGAUAACUAGUCGAAAGAUUAGCUAAUACCGCAUACGACCUGAGGGUGAAAGUGGGGGACCGUAAGGCCUCAUGCUAUAGGAGCGGCCGAUGUCUGAUUAGCUAGUUGGUGGGGUAAGGGCCUACCAAGGCGACGAUCAGUAGCUGGUCUGGGAGGACGAUCAGCCACACUGGGACUGAGACACGGCCCAGACUCCUACGGGAGGCAGCAGUGGGGAAUUUUGGACAAUGGGCGAAAGCCUGAUCCAGCAAUGCCGCGUGUGUGAGGAAGGCCUUCGGGUUGUAAAGCACUUUUGUCCGGAAAGAAAUGGCUCUGGUUAGUACCUGGGGUCGAUGACGGUACCGGAAGAAUAAGGACCGGCUAACUACGUGCCAGCCGCCGCAGUAA
rnacentral:rRNA from 1 species